rnacentral:rRNA from 1 species
GACGAACGCUGGCGGCGUGCUUAACACAUGCAAGUCGAACGGUGAAGCGCCUUCCUUUUUGGUGGGUGUGGAUGAGUGGCGAACGGGUGAGUAACACGUGAGUAACCUGCCCCCUUCUUCUGGAUAACCGCAUGAAAGUGUGGCUAAUACGGGAUAUUCUGGGUCUGUCGCAUGAUGGGUCUGGGAAAGAUAUUGUUUCGGUGGGGGAUGGGCCCGCGGCCUAUCAGCUUGUUGGUGGGGUGAUGGCCUACCAAGGCGGUGACGGGUAGCCGGCCUGAGAGGGUGGACGGUCACACUGGGACUGAGACACGGCGCAGACUCCUACGGGAGGCAGCAGUGGGGAAUAUGGCACAAUGGGCGCAAGCCUGAUGCAGCGACGCCGCGUGAGGGAUGGAGGCCUUCGGGUUGUGAACCUCUUUCGCCAGUGAAGCAGGCCUGCCUCGUUUGUGGGUGGGUUGACGGUAGCUGGAUAAGAAGCGCCGGCUAACUACGUG